rnacentral:rRNA from 1 species
UACAGAGGGGGCAAGCGUUAUUCGGAAUUAUUGGGCGUAAAGGGCGCGUAGGCGGCUUUGCAAGUGACGGGUGAAAGCCCUCGGCUUAACCGAGGAACUGCCUGUCAGACUGUGAGGCUUGAGACCGGGAGAGGUGAGUGGAAUUCCCAGUGUAGCGGUGAAAUGCGUAGAUAUUGGGAGGAACACCAGUGGCGAAGGCGGCUCACUGGACCGGGACUGACGCUGAGGCGCGAAAGCGUGGGGAGCAAACAGG